ensembl:lncRNA CABP7-DT CABP7 divergent transcript
CCGAUUCCCCUUUCCCACUAGGGCUCCCCUCUGUUCACUGGCUCUCCUCACCCUAAGUCUGCAGCCACCAGGACCAGGGAGGGGGUGGGUUGCGGGGGUCCUCCUUCCUGCCCCUUGGCUCACCUUCCCCCAUCCACGCACCAGGAGCGGAGAGCCCGGAACUAAGAACUGUAGACCCAGAGAGGUGAGACUGGCCCCAAGCACCUGGGUCCUCAAGAAGAGUCACCGUUUCCGUGCCAGGAGGAUCCAAGGUGGGGAAACUGAGGCUGAGAGAGAAGGACGUUGACCAAGGUCACAGGGCAGGAGCAGCAGGCCUGCCAGAUAAACGCAAAUGUUAUGGGACAUCAUCCCUUCUGGUGGCUCGAGCUCCCUGGCAUUCUGGGUCCUCACUCUGUGCCAGGCGCUGUGCAAGCACUGGCCUGGCCAGAGCAGGCAUUCAGAAGACAUUGUGGCCCCAACCCCACGCACACAGGAUCAGUGCUGGGGUUGGGACGGGGCCCAUCAGCCAAGCAGGUGGGUCCAGGAGGAGCUGGGAGGCUUGGAGAGGGGGCUGCGCUUAGCCUGUGCUGCCCUACCCAGUGGAGCUGAGC